AAUUAUUCUCAGUUAUCCUUGUUGGUCUCUCCGCGGGUGGUGGUGUCAGAAUUAAUCCCAUCCUACUUUCUUCACUCAUCACUGUAACCACUACCUCGUUAAUGUUUAGUAUUUUUUUUCUUUGUGAAGAAUUUGUUUUCUAACUUCAUCAAAGUCAGAGUUGAGACCCACCAAAAUAUUAUAGACUUUAUCUUAUUCAAUGUACUCCUUAAGUGUUUU
rnacentral:lncRNA from 1 species